GAGUGAACUUGACGCUGACGAGUGGCGGACGGGUGAGUAAUACUUAGGAAUCUACCCAGUAGUGGGGGACAACUUCCGGAAACGGGAGCUAAUACCGCAUACACCCUAAGGGGAAAAGUGGAGGAUCUUCGGACUUCACGCUAUUGGAUGAGCCUAAGUCGGAUUAGCUUGUUGGUGAGGUAAAGGCUCACCAAGGCAACGAUCCGUAGCUGGUCUGAGAGGACGAUCAGCCACACUGGGACUGAGACACGGCCCAGACUCCUACGGGAGGCAGCAGUGGGGAAUAUUGGACAAUGGGCGCAAGCCUGAUCCAGCAAUACCGCGUGUGUGAAGAAGGCCUGCGGGUUGUAAAGCACUUUCAGUAGAGAAGAAAAGCUUAGAGUUAAUACCUCUGAGUCUUGACGUAACCUACAGAAGAAGCACCGGCUAACUCCGUGCCAGCAGCCGCGGUAAUACGGGGGGUGCAAGCGUUAAUCGGAAUUACUGGGCGUAAAGCGCGCGUAGGCGGUUUGAUCAGUCGGAUGUGAAAGCCCUGGGCUCAACCUGGGAAUGGCAUCCGAUACUGUCAAGCUAGAAUGUGGGAGAGGCAAGUGGAAUUUCCGGUGUAGCGGUGAAAUGCGUAGAGAUCGGAAGGAACACCAGUGGCGAAGGCGGCUUGCUGGCCCAACAUUGACGCUGAGGUGCGAAAGCGUGGGGAGCGAACAGGAUUAGAUACCCUGGUAGUCCACGCCGUAAACGAUGAGAACUAGAUGUCGGAAGGGUUUAGCCUUUCGGUGUCGCAGCUAACGCGUUAAGUUCUCCGCCUGGGGAGUACGGUCGCAAGACUAAAACUCAAAGGAAUUGACGGGGACCCGCACAAGCGGUGG
rnacentral:rRNA from 1 species